GGCGACCGGCGCACGGGUGAGUAACGCGUAUGCAACUUACCUAUCAGAGGGGGAUAACCCGGCGAAAGUCGGACUAAUACCGCAUGAAGCAGGGGCCCCGCAUGGGGAUAUUUGCUAAAGAUUCAUCGCUGAUAGAUAGGCAUGCGUUCCAUUAGGCAGUUGGCGGGGUAACGGCCCACCAAACCGACGAUGGAUAGGGGUUCUGAGAGGAAGGUCCCCCACAUUGGUACUGAGACACGGACCAAACUCCUACGGGAGGCAGCAGUGAGGAAUAUUGGUCAAUGGGCGUAAGCCUGAACCAGCCAAGUCGCGUGAGGGAUGAAGGUUCUAUGGAUCGUAAACCUCUUUUAUAAGGGAAUAAAGUGCGGGACGUGUCCCGUUUUGUAUGUACCUUAUGAAUAAGGAUCGGCUAACUCCGUGCCAGCAGCCGCGGUAAUACGGAGGAUCCGAGCGUUAUCCGGAUUUAUUGGGUUUAAAGGGUGCGUAGGCGGCCUUUUAAGUCAGCGGUGAAAGUCUGUGGCUCAACCAUAGAAUUGCCGUUGAAACUGGGAGGCUUGAGUAUGUUUGAGGCAGGCGGAAUGCGUGGUGUAGCGGUGAAAUGCUUAGAUAUCACGCAGAACCCCGAUUGCGAAGGCAGCCUGCCAAGCCAUGACUGACGCUGAUGCACGAAAGCGUGGGGAUCAAACAGGAUUAGAUACCCUGGUAGUCCACGCAGUAAACGAUGAUCACUAGCUGUUUGCGAUACACAGUAAGCGGCACAGCGAAAGCGUUAAGUGAUCCACCUGGGGAGUACGCCGGCAACGGUGAAACUCAAAGGAAUUGACGGGGGCCCGCACAAGCGGAGGAACAUGUGGUUUAAUUCGAUGAUACGCGAGGAACCUUACCCGGGUUUGAACGCAUUCGGACCGAGGUGGAAACACCUUUUCUAGCAAUAGCCGUUUGCGAGGUGCUGCAUGGUUGUCGUCAGCUCGUGCCGUGAGGUGUCGGCUUAAGUGCCAUAACGAGCGCAACCCUUGCCACUAGUUACUAACAGGUGAUGCUGAGGACUCUGGUGGGACUGCCAGCGUAAGCUGCGAGGAAGGCGGGGAUGACGUCAAAUCAGCACGGCCCUUACAUCCGGGGCGACACACGUGUUACAAUGGCGUGGACAAAGGGAAGCCACCUGGCGACAGGGAGCGAAUCCCCAAACCACGUCUCAGUUCGGAUCGGAGUCUGCAACCCGACUCCGUGAAGCU
rnacentral:rRNA from 1 species